rnacentral:rRNA from 1 species
UACAGAGGGGGCAAGCGUUAUUCGGAAUUAUUGGGCGUAAAGGGCGCGUAGGCGGCUUUGCAAGUGACGGGUGAAAUCCCUCGGCUUAACCGAGGAACUGCCUGUCAGACUGUAAGGCUUGAGACCGGGAGAGGUGAGUGGAAUUCCCAGUGUAGCGGUGAAAUGCGUAGAUAUUGGGAGGAACACCAGUGGCGAAGGCGGCUCACUGGACCGGAACGGACGCUGAGGCGCGAAAGCGUGGGGAGCAAACAGG